UUGCAAUAGCUUUUUCGCUCAUUACCAGAUGUCGCCACGGUCGUUCUUGUUAUUCCUACGUCCCGGAUGAAACGAGGCGAAACAAAAUUGUUGCUAUUUAUACUUGCAUUCCUGUGAUUUCAAAUACCAAAUUGAACUUCGUAUCUUAUAUGCAUAGCUACUGUCAGUCAUCCCAACAAGUUGACUUAUCGCUCAGUCACUUUCCAUCCAUUACCAUUAGAUCCUCAUGCUAUCAAAAGCCUCAUGUUUGAAGCACACAUAUGGUGGUAUACAAAUGUGUGGAGAUAAGGUGUUUUCCCAUUACUGCUACCAAAAAAAUCACAAAACGUCAAAUGCCUUACUACAUCAUCACCCAUAUGAUAAUUAAGCAUCAGGAAAUUUAUCCCACCCGAGGAGUAAUGCAGUUGGUUGCUCUAAUUCCAUUAUUACGGUUUUUCAUCAUGAACAUUUCAGUGUGCUUCUUUGAAAAGAGCACGCAAAAUCCCCACGGACAUCCUUGAGCCAAUGCUGGAUUUUGUCCGUGACAGAAGAGGAACUUCCACCAACGUUCUGCUCCAUCCUUAUCUUCAAGAUCAAGACUCAUCCAGCUUCAGACCUUCAGUGCUUCUUAUGCUGGUAGUCCUGCUACAGAACGUUUCUUGCUUCACUGGCGAGUUGGAUCACUUCAGUUGCUGUGACACACCUAAAGUCACUCACCACGGGAUUAUGGCCAGGUCAUACAGAGGAGACGUCGAGAAGAUGAACUCCAAAACAUCGCCGG